UCGUAACUUCGAUCUUUCUCUCGUCUGACUCUGCCUUCACAGUCCUAUAAUUUCAUUUCAUUUCAUUUCCUCGAACUUCCACGAAUCUACGAUCCUACGCAUUUUCUUGUGAAAUUUUUGGUUUGAAGAUCUGAUGUAUGAAUCGAAAUUUCAUGUGGUGAAUGAUCUGUCAAGCAUUGCGAAGAAUUAUCACGUAAGACCGAAGUAUGAUACAGGACUAGGUGAAAGCAAGUUUGUUCUCCAGGAGUUGGAUUUGCUGAAAGAAGAUUCAAUUGUUUACAAACUGGUUGGUCCUAUUCUUGUGAGGCAAGAUCCAGCAGAGCCAAAUGCAAACGCUCGGAAAAGAGUUGGUUACCUCACUGCUGAAUGAAGCGCGUUGAUGCAAUUAUCGGGGACUUGGGAGAGGAGAAAAUUAUCAAAAGAGAGUAGUGAAUUUGUUUCGGAUAAGCGCCAGUGAAUAGAUAUUGAAGAAACAAAGGGAAAGCACUGAACGAGCAACCAUUUUACAAGUUCGUAUUCAUAUUCAACUCAGUAUUUCAAAACAAUUAAUUGAUGAGAAAACUGGAAAAAAUGGUUGCAUGUGCACAAAUUUGAUCAUGGUUCAAAUUCGUCUGUAAGCUAGACUAAGAUGCAGAGACUAGAAAAGCAAAAACCAUAUAUUUCGAAAAAAUAAUUAUAAUUGUAAAUUAUCGAGAAACCUGUUAUUGCUUCUCGACUGAUUUGGCAAGUUAUACCGUCUCUUCCAUUUCCCCA